GAUGAACGCUAGCGGCAGGCUUAAUACAUGCAAGUCGUGGGGCAGCAUGAGUAGCAAUACUUGAUGGCGACCGGCAAACGGGUGAGGAACACGUACACAACCUUCCUUCAAGCGGGGAAUAGCCCAGAGAAAUUUGGAUUAAUACCCCAUAAUAUAUUUGAUAAGGCAUCUUAUUAAUAUUAAAGCUUCGGCACUUGAUGAUGGGUGUGCGGCUGAUUAGAUAGUUGGCGGGGUAACGGCCCACCAAGUCUACGAUCAGUAGCUGAUGUGAGAGCAUGAUCAGCCACACGGGCACUGAGACACGGGCCCGACUCCUACGGGAGGCAGCAGUAAGGAAUAUUGGACCAAUGGACGAAAGUACUGAUCCACGCCACUGCCGCGUGAAGGAUUAA
rnacentral:rRNA from 1 species